UACGAAGGGGGCUAGCGUUGCUCGGAAUCACUGGGCGUAAAGCGCACGUAGGCGGAUUGCUAAGUCAGGGGUGAAAUCCUGGAGCUCAACUCCAGAACUGCCUUUGAUACUGAAGAUCUUGAGUUCGGGAGAGGUGAGUGGAACUGCGAGUGUAGAGGUGAAAUUCGUAGAUAUUCGCAAGAACACCAGUGGCGGAAGGCGGCUCAACUGGCCCGAGUACUGACGCU
rnacentral:rRNA from 1 species